UGCAUCGGCCGGGAAUCGAACCGGGCCCGCCCGCUUGGCAGGCGAGCAUUCUAUCACUGAACCACCGAUGG
rnacentral:tRNA from 1 species